GUAUUACUCCCUCCGUUCGGAAUUACUUGUCUUGGAAAUGGAUGUAUCUAGAACUAAAAUACAUCUAGAUACAUCCAUUUCUACGACAAGUAAUUCCGAACGGAGGGAGUACUAG
rnacentral:pre_miRNA from 1 species